UGCAAUAUUUCCAGGCCCAGUUUAUAUUUAUACGCUUUAUGAAUAGGCAGUAUUUUGUUAGAUAUAAAAAUGGGUGUAGUGUCUUCCGAAAGUUCUAAAUUUCCGAUUGCACGUA
rnacentral:lncRNA from 1 species